AUGGCGGAGCUCGCGUCGGGCGCCGUGAGCUCGCUGCUGGGCGUCAUCCCCAAUGAGGCGCUGCUGCUGGGCCGCGUCCGGCACGAUGUGCAGUUCAUCCAAGAGGAGAUGGAGAGCAUGAAGAGCUUCCUGGCGCACCUGGCAAAAAAGGCGCCCGCCGGCCGCGAGCACGAGGAGCAGAUCCGGACGUGGAUGAACCAGGUCCGGCUGCUCGCCCAAGACAGCAACAACUGCAUUGAUCUGUACCUGUACCGUGGCAACCCCGAGAUCCACCUCGCCAGGGGUGGCUUCCGGCGCUACUUCUCGUGGCUUCCCUGGUUCCUGCACAAGAUGGUCGCGCAGCAUCGCGCGGCCGUCCAGCUGCGUGCUCUCAGGGAACGGGCGCGUGACAUUGGUGAGCGCCGAUUGAGGUAUGGCGUCGAGGUACCGGCGAAGGGAGCGGUAGCUGGACAGUCCCAGCCUGCUGCUGCAGGGACUGCACUCACUCCGGUGGCAGAAGUUUCGCCAUCGGUUCAUGCAGCCGCAACAUCUGCUCUUUCUGGAGAUGAAGAAGAAGACAGUGAUGUCGACCCAUUAGUGGUGGCAAUGGCGCCGACCGGUCAUUCGGUCCUAAGGGAGACAUUUUUCGAGCCCUGUACGCCUGAGGACCACAUGAGGGCGAAGCUAACUGAAUGGAUAAAGGAUGUUGUGGAACACAACACUGGCGUGGGGAAGAAAUCAAUACCAUCUGUUGCCAUUGUGGCACCGCAUAGGAAUGAAACUCGAGCUAUUGCAAAUGAAGCUACAUCUAUGUGGAAGAAACAUGGCAUGCGCAGGCGCAGUGUCUUGGUAGAUAUCCCAGCAGUACACUUCUAUCAUCAGUUGCUGCAAAGGCAAGACAUUCUCUUCUACAUCUUACGGGAGCUUCAAGCGCAGCAAGUUGCAGACAGAGAAGGGAAGGGCGUCCAGGUGCAUCCCAACCUAGAACUGGUGACUGACGAUCAGCUAGACCUGCUGGAAUCCGCUAGAGAUCAACCAUUAGGAGUGCUCCUCCGAGCGCUCUGGCUGCUCGAGCACAAGCAAGUUGAAGGUGAAGGUGCAUCUGCUACCAAGCAACGCCACGAAAGGAAGGAAGCAACACAUUCGCAUGAUGAUGUCAUUAUGGAGACAACCAAGAAACUUAGAGAGUAUAUGGAAGGACGUGCAUGGUCGAAGGUUAAUGUUAAAGAUGUUUUGGAAACAGAAGCAAAUGCAAUGAUGAAGCCUCAAGGGCAUAUGGGAAAAGAUGCAAAUGAAAAACUAAAGCCUGAAGAAGAAGCACCCGUAAAGAUGAUUCAUCUGAAGGAAGAGCAAUAUGAACACAUCCUACGUGAGGUGUUUCCGUUGAGAAUCAAGAAGCCCCAGGAAGACUCCAAGCAAGCCACCUCUAGUACAGUUAUAUUAGUCGACGACCAAAUCAAAGAAUUGAUCAGCAAAGUCCUACAGGAGCUGCAGGAUAAUAGAUCCGUGAAACAUGGAGGUAUAGCUGAGCCGCAGGAAGACAAAUCCGUGAAGAAACUACAUACUGCUACUUGUAAACCAAGUCAUGAUUGUAUCCGAGAUGCUCUAAUUGAAGAAACCAUGAACAAGAUUGAAGAAAUCCAGCGGAAGAUGAAAGAGCAGCUCCAGAUCAAAGGGAUCAUGGACAGAAUUAUUGAUUGUUUGGAGACACAAGGUGAUGAGAUGAUACUGGUUAUCCUCAAACUGGAUGAUGACUACGUAACAGGAUGGGAGGAGACCAAACAUGCUUUCCGCAUGCUAGGUGGCAUAGCUGGCGCACUCAUAUUGAAGACCACCGUAAAUUGUACACAAGCCAGAGAAUAUUGUUGUCCGCCGCGGGAGCCCAUAGACUGUUCUCUUGUUGGCCUCUACCGAGAUAUUGCACUCGAGCUUAGAAAAAACCAGAUGAAUGAAGAUAGCACCCAGAUUAUUCUUGACAUUUUAGACAAGUGUAAGCAAGAUGAAUUCUGCAUGAAAGUCUUUGUUCAUGCUUUGUACGCCAACCCCAAGAGGAGCAAUGAAGAACUAAGAAAGCUGCGCAGAACAAUGCAUGAGGUAUCGGAGAACUCAUUGGACAUCAUCGAUAAGAAGAUUUUCAAGUUCUCUUAUAGUGAUCUGCCCAAGGAACACAAGUCCUGCUUGUUGUAUCUAACUAUCUUCCCACCAGGGCGGAGCAUUAGGCGGUCAACCUUGAUAGGACGGUGGGUUGUAGAAGGGCUAAUAACCAAGGAAGACUGGGCCAGUUCUAUCCGUCGUGCCAAUCAAUGUUUUGAUGCGCUUGUCCAUCGGUGGUUUGUUUGUCCUGUUGAUAUUGGUGCUACAACACAGAACCAACACUACCUCAAGGACAUCUGCAGCAAGAUGUUACUACUCAAGUAUCUAAGCCUAAGGGGGACAAAUGUUACCAAGCUGCCAAGUGAAAUCAACAACCUCCGUGAGUUGGAAGUAUUGGAUAUCCGACAGACAAGGGUGCCUGCAGCUGUAACAGUACAUGUCAUACUCUUGAAGUUGAAGCGUUUGCUGGCUGGCUCAGUUGUUAUGAGUUCAGGGCCAAGCAAUAAUGAAGUAUCUUAUGUUAUGGUGCCUGACAAGAUCGAAAAGAUGACAAAUAUGGAGGUAAUGUCCAAUGUCAAGGCACGAAAUAGUAAUGAUUUGAAGGAUAUUGGCAAGCUAUGGCGGUUGAGGAAGCUUGGUGUGGUUAUUGAGCAGAAGGACAAACUCAUCAGGAAUUUGCUUCAAACUAUCUGUGACCUGCAUGAGUGCCUCCGCUCUCUGUCAAUCACUCUUCCCAUAACCGCAGAAGACUCUUCUGACGAUAACUCUCCCAAGCUUCUUUCCUUUGAGGGACAGUGUCCCAAGUUUCUGGAGAGCCUAAGCAUUCGCGGAACCGCAGAAACGGGUCAACUUUUUCAGUUGUUGACCAAAGAUGGUGACCAACUUCAACUUGCCAAGGUAACUCUAUCUGGUACUCGACUAAGGCAGGCUGAUCUGGAGAUCCUCGCCAAGCUACCCAAAUUAGUCUAUCUUAGGCUCCAAGACAGGGCAUACAUCGAUGACAAGCUCAGUUUCAACAAGGAGAAAUUUAAGGGUCUCAAGUGCUUUCUUAUUGAGGGUUCCAAGAUAACUGUCCUUAGCUUUAAUGGUGGAGCUCCUAAACUCGAGAAGAUCAUUCUGUCGUCCACUGAUGGCCUACAGUCUCUUUCUAGAGUCGAAGACCUUCAUGAACUGAAGGAAGUCGAGUUGAAGAACAGCAAUAAGCUAUCAUUAUCAUUAUUUGAAAAGGCAAAAAACAUCUCCAAGGUGACUCUCUGUCGUACCAUUCUUUGUCAAGAUGAGGUGGAGAUUCUUGCCAAGAUGCCUAACAUGCGCAGCCUAGUACUCAAGGAGAUAUCUUAUGCACAGAGCCUGCUCAUCUUCUACAAAGACGACUUCCCAAGGCUCAACCUUCUAACCAUCGACUUUUCUGGCAUCACCUGUAUUGGCUUUACUACCCAAUCUGCUACUAAGCUUGAGAAAAUCAUAUGGUCCUACAGAAAGGGUACACUACUCUCCGGCAUUGACGAGCUUCCAAAACUGAAGGAGCUCGAGUUCAAUGGUGAUUUUGUCCCCGAUGAGGUGAUAGAUGCAUUGAAGAAACACAAGAACAAUCCCAAGCUUAUACACAACAAACCAGGCAACCAGGAAGCGAGAAACAUACCAGAAAAGAAAGAUGCUCCAAGAUUCCCAUUAUUCUGGAAGAAAGAGGAUUGA
rnacentral:rRNA from 1 species